rnacentral:rRNA from 1 species
ACCUGCUCCGAUGGUGUCUAUGGUGAAUGCUGCGGUUAAAAUGUCUGUAGUUGAGUGAGAGCGUGUAUGAGCGGAAUGCGGGCGAGCAAGGGCCGAGGAGCUUGUAUGUGUGAGGGGAGCAACGGAGGGGGUGCACCGGAUAGCUGGGCGAGAGGUGAAAUGCGAAGACCCUGGCAGGACGAGCGGAGGCGAAGGCAGUGUGCCAUGACGAGUGCGGUGAUCAAGGACGAAGGCCAGAGGAUCGAAAUCGAUUAGAUACCGUUUUAGUUCUGGCAGUAAACGAUGCUGACGGGACGACACGUGUGUGUUGUGCAGGAGAAAUUGAGUAUGUGGGCUCUGGGGAUAGUAUGUUCGCAAGGGUGAAACUUGAAGAGAUUGACGGAAGGACACCACAAGGA